GUCUACGGCCAUACCACCCUGAACGCGCCCGAUCUCAUCUGAUCUCGGAAGCUAAGCAGGGUCGGGCCUGGUUAGUACUUGGAUGGGAGAAACAUCAUUAAUCAGCUCCUUCCGGCAUGCCCCCUACUGGACA
ensembl:rRNA 5S_rRNA 5S ribosomal RNA